rnacentral:rRNA from 1 species
UACGAAGGGGGCUAGCGUUGCUCGGAAUCACUGGGCGUAAAGGGCGCGUAGGCGGCGUUUUAAGUCAGGGGUGAAAUCCUGGAGCUCAACUCCAGAACUGCCUUUGAUACUGAGGAUCUUGAGUUCGGGAGAGGAGAGUGGAAUUCCUGGUGUAGCGGUGGAAUGCGCAGAUAUCAGGAAGAACACCCGUGGCGAAGGCGGCUCUCUGGGAACGCAAACCUGACGCUGAGACGCGAAAGCGUGGGGAGCAAACAGG